rnacentral:rRNA from 1 species
UACAUAGGGCCCAAGCGUUGUUCGGAAUUACUGGGCGUAAAGGGCGCGUAGGUGGCCAACUAAGUCAGACGUGAAAUCCCUCGGCUUAACCGGGGAACUGCGUCUGAUACUGGAUGGCUUGAGUUUGGGAGAGGGACGCGGAAUUCCAGGUGUAGCGGUGAAAUGCGUAGAUAUCUGGAGGAACACCGGUGGCGAAGGCGGCGUCCUGGACCAAUACUGACACUGAAACGCGAAAGCCAGGGGAGCAAACGGG